rnacentral:rRNA from 1 species
GAUGAACGCUGGCGGCGUGCCUAACACAUGCAAGUCGAGCGAUUUACUUCGGUAAAGAGCGGCGGACGGGUGAGUAACGCGUGGGUAACCUGCCCUGUACACACGGAUAACAUACCGAAAGGUAUGCUAAUACGAGAUAAUAUGCUUUUAUCGCAUGGUAGAAGUAUCAAAGCUUUUGCGGUACAGGAUGGACCCGCGUCUGAUUAGCUAGUUGGUAAGGUAACGGCUUACCAAGGCGACGAUCAGUAGCCGACCUGAGAGGGUGAUCGGCCACAUUGGAACUGAGACACGGUCCAAACUCCUACGGGAGGCAGCAGGGGGGAAUAUUGCACGAUGGGCGAAAGACUGAUGCAGCAUCGCCGCGUGAGCGAUGAAGGCCUUCGGGUCGUAAAGCUCUGUCCUCAAGGAAGAUAAUGACGGUACUUGAGGAGGAAGCCCCGGCUAACUACGUGCCAGCAGCCGCAGUAA